GAUGAACGCUGGCGGCGUGCUUAACACAUGCAAGUCGAACGGGAAACCUUUUAUUGAAGCUUCGGCAGAUUUAGCUGGUUUCUAGUGGCGGACGGGUGAGUAACGCGUGGGUAACCUGCCUUAUACAGGGGGAUAACAGUCAGAAAUGGCUGCUAAUACCGCAUAAGCGCACAGAGCUGCAUGGCUCAGUGUGAAAAACUCCGGUGGUAUAAGAUGGACCCGCGUUGGAUUAGCUGGUUGGUGGGGUAACGGCCCACCAAGGCGACGAUCCAUAGCCGGCCUGAGAGGGUGAACGGCCACAUUGGGACUGAGACACGGCCCAGACUCCUACGGGAGGCAGCAGUGGGGAAUAUUGCACAAUGGGGGAAACCCUGAUGCAGCGACGCCGCGCGAAGGAAGAAGUAUCUCGGUAUGUAAACUUCUAUCAGCAGGGAAGAUAAUGACGGUACCUGACUAAGAAGCCCCGGCUAACUACGUG
rnacentral:rRNA from 1 species